GAGAGAUCAAGAACAGGUUCAAUGUUUCUAAUUGCAGUCUGCCCCCUUCCAUGCUAAAACCUGGUGCGGGAUCAUUAACAGGCGACUCCUCGGAGUCUCCAGACUUCUGGACAAAGAAGAAGAGGAGAAAAUUAUGACAGCAGAAAAAUCUGUGCAAAUAAAUCCUGAGUAAUGAGAGGGAAGCUGACUAAACACAAACAGCGCUGGUUUAACAAAGAACCACAGACGGCAGGACUGAUUAUAGCCCACGGUGAAUGAGGAGCUUGAUUCAACAAGAAUGUCAGCCCAAAGCCUGGAUUCUCCACCAGCCUCAUUAGCCCUUGGAGCAGACUCUGCUGACUUUGAGGUCCAUACCCGUGCCACUUCUACUGCAUGAGCGGUCAGUGUAAAAAUACAUUAAAAGAGCA